rnacentral:rRNA from 1 species
AUUAAUAAAUUUAUUUUAUUGUGUGUGAAUUAUUUAUGAAGUUUAAAUUAAAUAAAUUUGUGUUAUUGUAUAAUGAAUUGAUAAAAUUAUUUAUAUUAUAGUGAAUUAGUACAGAAGGGGAACAGUUAAAGAAUAUUAUGAAUUUAAAAAGGUAUUAUAAAUGGUGUAUCUUGUGUUUUAGAGUAUAUUUAAAAAUAGAAUAAAUUUUUUUAUUCUCGAAUUUUAAGGAUUUAAUUAGAUGAUUUAGUUAUUGUAAUAUAAAUAUUUAAAAUUUCUAUAUUGGUAAUGAAAUGUUAUUCGUUUUAUAGGAUAUCUAGUUUUUUAAUAAAUGAAUUUAAUUCAUAGAAUAUAAUUUAUGUUUAUAAGUUUAUUAUAAAUAUAUUUAAUAUUUUAAAUUUUUAGGGGGAUAAGCUUUUAAAAAUAAUAGUUAUAAUAAAUAAUUUUUUAUAAGAAUAAAAUAAAUUUAGAAGUAGUUUUUAAUUAAAGGAUGUUAAAAUUUAAUUCUUAUUUUUAAAAAAUAUUUUAAUUUGUUUAAUUUAUAUAUUAAAAUAUUACUUUCAAUUUUAAAUUGUUAGUGAAUAUGAUUUAAUUAGUAAAUGAGAUGUAUAUUAUUAAUUUAAUAUUAAUGUUAAUAUAAAGAACUAGGCAAAAUUAAUUUACCCACCUGUUUAUUAAAAACAUGGUUUCUUGUAUGUAUAUUGGAGAUUUAACCUGCCCACUGAAAAUUUUAAAGGGCCGCAGUAUUUUGACUGUGCAAAGGUAGCAUAAUAAUUAGUCUUUUAAUUGAAGGCUGGAAUGAAUGGUUGGAUGAGGUAAAGACUGUUUUAUAUUAAUUAAAUUGAAUUUAGAUUUUAAGUAAAAAGACUUAAAUAAAAUUAAGGGACGAGAAGACCCUAUAGAGUUUAAUAAAUAAACUUUUAAUUAAGUUAGAAAUAAAUUUUUAAUUAUUAUUGUUAAUUUAUUUAAUUGGGGUGAUUAAAAGAUAUAGAAAACUCUUUUUUAAAAUGAAUAUGUUUUAAGUAAAUAAAAGAUCCAUGAUUAAUGAUUAUAAGAUUAAAUUACCUUAGGGAUAACAGCAUAAUACUUUUAGAGAGUUCAAAUUGAAAAAAGUGAUUGUGACCUCGAUGUUGGAUUAAGAUAAAUUUUGGGUGCAGGUGUUCAAUAAUUAGGUCUGUUCGACCUUUAAAUUCUUACAUGAUCUGAGUUUAAACCGGUGUGAGCCAGGUUGGUUUCUAUCUUUAAUAAGUUUAAAUAUUUUAGUACGAGAGGACCAAAUAUUUUAAAUAAUUUAUAUUUAGUGAAUAUUAAUAAU